AGUGAACGCUGGCGGUAGGCCUAACACAUGCAAGUCGAACGGCAGCACAGUAAGAGCUUGCUCUUACGGGUGGCGAGUGGCGGACGGGUGAGUAAUACAUCGGAAUCUACUUUUUCGUGGGGGAUAACGUAGGGAAACUUACGCUAAUACCUCAUACGACCUACGGGUGAAAGCAGGGGAUCUUCGGACCUUGCGCGAUUGAAUGAGCCGAUGUCGGAUUAGCUAGUUGGCGGGGUAAAGGCCCACCAAGGCGACGAUCCGUAGCUGGUCUGAGAGGAUGAUCAGCCACACUGGAACUGAGACACGGUCCAGACUCCUACGGGAGGCAGCAGUGGGGAAUAUUGGACAAUGGGCGCAAGCCUGAUCCAGCCAUACCGCGUGGGUGAAGAAGGCCUUCGGGUUGUAAAGCCCUUUUGUUGGGAAAGAAAAGCAGCAGGUUAAUACCCCGCUGUUCUGACGGUACCCAAAGAAUAAGCACCGGCUAACUUCGUG
rnacentral:rRNA from 1 species